UUUAAGUGUUUUGAUCUAAAAUUAUUAUAAGUUAUGUUCUUUAAAAUUAAAAAAUUUGGCGGUAUUUUAGUCUAUUCAGAGGAACCUGUUUUUUAAUCGAUAGUCCACGAUAAUUUUUACUUUAACUUUAAAUUUAUAUAUCGUCGUUAAUAAAAAUUUUUGGAGAAUUUUAAUUUUUGGGAUUUUUUAUUAUAAUAUAAUUCAGAUCAAGGUGUAGUUUAUGUUAAAGUUAGAAUGGGUUACAUUAUAUUUAUAUGUAGUUUUUUAUUUAAAAUUAAAUUUAAAAUGGAUUUGAUAGUAAAUUCUUUAUUUUUGAGAAUUGAUUUAGCUCUAAAAUAUGC
rnacentral:rRNA from 1 species